rnacentral:rRNA from 1 species
GACGAACGCUGGCGGCAGGCCUAACACAUGCAAGUCGAGCGGACCUUUCGGGGUCAGCGGCGGACGGGUGAGUAACGCGUGGGAAUAUGCCCUUCUCUACGGAAUAGUCCUGGGAAACUGGGGGUAAUACCGUAUACGCCCUUUGGGGGAAAGAUUUAUCGGGGAAGGAUUAGCCCGCGUUGGAUUAGGUAGUUGGUGGGGUAAUGGCCUACCAAGCCGACGAUCCAUAGCUGGUUUGAGAGGAUGAUCAGCCACACUGGGACUGAGACACGGCCCAGACUCCUACGGGAGGGAGCAGUGGGGAAUCUUAGACAAUGGGGGCAACCCUGAUCUAGCCAUGCCGCGUGAGUGAUGAAGGCGUUAGGGUUGUAAAGCUCUUUCAGCUGGGAAGAUAAUGACGGUACCAGCAGAAGAAGCCCCGGCUAACUCCGUG